rnacentral:rRNA from 1 species
AUUGAACGCUGGCGGCAUGCCUUACACAUGCAAGUCGAACGGCAGCACGGGAGCAAUCCUGGUGGCGAGUGGCGAACGGGUGAGUAAUAUAUCGGAACGUGCCCAGUCGUGGGGGAUAACGUAGCGAAAGCUACGCUAAUACCGCAUACGAUCUACGGAUGAAAGCGGGGGAUCGCAAGACCUCGCGCGAUUGGAGCGGCCGAUAUCAGAUUAGGUAGUUGGUGAGGUAAAGGCUCACCAAGCUGACGAUCUGUAGCUGGUCUGAGAGGACGACCAGCCACACUGGGACUGAGACACGGCCCAGACUCCUACGGGAGGGCAGCAGUGGGGAAUUUUGGACAAUGGGCGCAAGCCUGAUCCAGCAAUGCCGCGUGCAGGAUGAAGGCCUUCGG